UACGUAGGGUGCGAGCGUUGUCCGGAAUUAUUGGGCGUAAAGGGCUCGUAGGCGGUUUGUCGCGUCGGGAGUGAAAACGCCGUGCUUAACACGGCGCUUGCUUUCGAUACGGGCAGACUAGAGGUAUGCAGGGGAGAACGGAAUUCCUGGUGUAGCGGUGAAAUGCGCAGAUAUCAGGAGGAACACCGGUGGUGAAGGCGGUUCUCUGGGCAUUACCUGACGCUGAGGAGCGAAAGUGUGGGGAGCGAACAGG
rnacentral:rRNA from 1 species